UACGUAGGGGGCAAGCGUUGUCCGGAAUUAUUGGGCGUAAAGAGCGCGUAGGCGGUCCGGUAAGUCAGCUGUGAAAGUCAAGGGCUCAACCCUUGAAAGCCGGUUGAUACUGUCGGGCUAGAGUCCGGAAGAGGCGAGUGGAAUUCCCGGUGUAGCGGUGAAAUGCGCAGAUAUCGGGAGGAACACCAAUGGCGAAGGCAGCUCGCUGGGACGGUACUGACGCUGAGGCGCGAAAGCGUGGGUAGCAAACAGG
rnacentral:rRNA from 1 species